UUAAGUUCAGCGGGUAAUCCCACCUGAUUUGAGGUCAAACAGUUCAAAGUUGUCCAAUAAGACUUGGACGGUUUGAAGGCAGCUACACUUAACAUCUUCACUUAUAGGCGUAGAUAAUUAUCACACCAAAGUGGAAGAACAGUAACCACUAAUGCAUUUAAGGAGAGCUGAACUAAUAAAAGCCAGCAAAAGACUCCCAU
rnacentral:misc_RNA from 1 species